ACGGGAGGCAGCAGUGGGGAAUAUUGGGCAAUGGGCGAAAGCCUGACCCAGCAACGCCGCGUGAAGGAAGAAGGCCUUCGGGUUGUAAACUUCUUUUACCAGGGACGAAGGACGUGACGGUACCUGGAGAAAAAGCAACGGCUAACUACGUGCCAGCAGCCGCGGUAAUACGUAGGGAGCAAGCGUUAUCCGGAUUUACUGGGUGUAAAGGGCGUGUAGGCGGGACAGCAAGUCAGAUGUGAAAGCACGAGGCUCAACUUCGUGUCUGCAUUUGAAACUGCUGUUCUUGAGUGCUGGAGAGGCUAACGGAACUCCUAGUGUAGCGGUGAAAUGCGUAGAUAUUAGGAAGAACACCAGUGGCGAAGGCGGUUAGCUGGACAGUAACUGACGCUGAGGCGCGAAAGCGUGGGUAGCAAACAGGAUUAGAUACCCUGGUA
rnacentral:rRNA from 1 species